UUAUUGUUGGUUUGGCUUUAAGUAUAAUUAUUUUGAAAGUAAUUAAUAAGGAUUUUCCUUUAAAGUCA
rnacentral:tRNA from 1 species